rnacentral:rRNA from 1 species
GAUGAACGCUGGCGGCGUGCCUAAUACAUGCAAGUCGAGCGAACAGACGAGGAGCUUGCUCCUCUGUCGUUAGCGGCGGACGGGUGAGUAACACGUGGAUAACCUACCUAUAAGACUGGGAUAACUUCGGGAAACCGGAGCAAAUACCGGAUAAUAUAUUGAUCCGCAUGGGUCGAUAGUGAAAGACGGUUUUGCUGUCACUUAUAGAUGGAUCUGCGCCGCAUUAGCUAGUUGGUAGGGUAACGGCUUACCAAGGCAACGAUGCGUAGCCGACCUGAGAGAGUGAUAGGCCACCCUGGAGCUGAGCCACGGUCCAGACUCCUACGGGAGGCAGCAGUAGGGUAUCUUCCGCAAUGGGCGAGAGCCUGACGGAACAACGCCGCGUGAGUGAUGAAGGUCUUCGGAUCGUAAAACUCUGUUAUUAGGGAAAAACAAAUGUGUAAGUAACUAUGCACGUCUUGACGGUAACUGAUCAGAAAGCCACGGCUAACUACGUG